rnacentral:rRNA from 1 species
AAUUCGCCCUUAGAGUUUGAUCAUGGCUCAGAUUGAACGCUGGCGGCAUGCCUUACACAUGCAAGUCGAACGGUAACAGGUCUUCGGACGCUGACGAGUGGCGAACGGGUGAGUAAUACAUCGGAACGUGCCCAGUCGUGGGGGAUAACUACUCGAAAGAGUAGCUAAUACCGCAUACGAUCUGAGGAUGAAAGCGGGGGACCUUCGGGCCUCGCGCGAUUGGAGCGGCCGAUGGCAGAUUAGGUAGUUGGUGGGAUAAAAGCUUACCAAGCCGACGAUCUGUAGCUGGUCUGAGAGGACGACCAGCCACACUGGGACUGAGACACGGCCCAGACUCCUACGGGAGGCAGCAGUGGGGAAUUUUGGACAGUGGGCGAAAGCCUGAUCCAGCAAUGCCGCGUGCAGGAUGAAGGCCUUCGGGUUGUAAACUGCUUUAGU